rnacentral:rRNA from 1 species
GUUUAUGGCCAUACCACCCUGAAUGUACCCGAUCUUAUCUGAUCUCAGAAGCUAAGCGGGCCUGCUUAGUACUUGGAUGGGAGACCGCCUGGGAAUACUGGGUUUUAUGAAUA